rnacentral:lncRNA from 1 species
GGGUGUUUUUCCAGGCUCAGGAACAGCCCCAUGCUAUGCCAAUUGCCUUCCAAAGAGAGAGGGGAAAAACCAAUGAAGAACCUAUGAAAAACCGAGAGCUCCUCUUUUCUGCUGGGUCUCCUCCAAAACGAGAGCUGCCCAUCUUUUAUAUAAAAUGGUAGAGAGUACAUCUGAAGGAGAAGGUAGGAAGACCAUGCCUCUGCCAAAAACGUGGAAGACCUUAUUGUGUCAACCUCACUACCAUCAAGUCACAACAUU